AAACUAACUUAAGAUGAGAUCAUCCUGGAUUAGGGUGGGUCCUAAAUACAACGACAGAUGUCCUUCUAAAAGACAGAAGAGGAGACACAGAGGAUGAGGCCACAUGGAGACGGAGGCAGAGACUGGAGUGAUGCGGCCACAAGCCCAGGGAUGCCUGGAGCCCCCAGGAGCUGGGAGAGGCAGGAAGGACCCUCCCCUAGAGCCUCUAGAGAAGGCUAAAUGAAAUUGUAAUGAAUUCAACUAUUGUCCACCAGAAAGAUAUGUCCACACCCUCACCCCCAGAACUUGUGAAUGGGAGCUUACUUUGAAAUAAGAUCCUUGCAGAUGCAAGUAGUAAAAUAUUUUAAGAUGAGAUCAUCCUGCAUUAGAUGGACCAUGAAUCCAAUCAUUGCUGUCUCUAUAACAGACAGAGGAGGAGAACAGACACAGAGGGUAAGGCCGCAUGGAGAUGGAGGCAGAGACUGGAGUGAUGUGGCCACAAGCACAGGGACACCUGGAGCCCCCAGGAGCUGGGAGAGGCAGGAAGGACCCUCCCUGAGAGCCUCUGGAGGGAACUGGAUACAAGUGAAGUAGAUUGAACUGUGAUCCCCCAAAAAGGAACCCCAGGAAGCUCCUGAAGCAAUCCGCCCUUCCAUCUCUGUGUCUGGCAGACACUACUGUGUGAUUCCAGCGGGACAGCACCCACCGCACUCACCUUCAUUGCUCAGGGGGAAGGAACAGUCAGUCAGCUGUGAGUCACCAGAAGCCAAGAGCUUUCUCAAUUUAGUUGUAUCAGCUCUUCCCGGCAGCGUGUGGAUUUCCUGCAAAAGUGGCCUCAUGAUUUACUUAGGGAAACAGCUCCAAGGAUGGGAGACGGCUGCUCUCCACAAUUUCCCUCCUGCAGCUAGGAAGGAAGUCAGGACUGUUCUGUGG
rnacentral:lncRNA from 1 species